UAUGGAAAUAGACAUUACGUAUUUACAAUGCAAUUACGUUUACCUUAGAAAAUCAAUCCUCGAGAGCCGUUUGGAAGACAACAAGCUAAGCAAGAACUUUCCUAUGUCGAUUCAAGAGAGAUGAAGCAGAAUCCCAGAAAUCAAAGAGAGUUGGAUUGGGUUGAAAUCUUUUGUUUCGGUUGCACAUGCCUACAGCUGCACUGGCCGAGAACUAUGCUGAAGAAAUGGCUCAACAGACAGUCGGGGGAGUCGGAUUUCAGUGCCGACGAGCGCGACAGCGAGAGCGAAGUCGAUGAUGAUGAAGAAGCAGAAACGUGCGACUGGGAAUGGGAACAGGAAGGGGAACGGGAAUUGGGUGACGCCUACAAGAAAUCAGAGUGUUUUCCUUCCAAGUUAAGAAGACGAAACUCAGAGACCUGUCGUGCGCAAUAUAUAAACACCAAAGAACUCAGGAUUUGUGUUGGCACGUGGAAUGUCGGAGGAAGAUUGCCGCCUGAUGACCUAGAUAUUAAAGAUUGGCUAGACAUGGAAGAGCCUGCUGAUAUAUAUGUGCUCGGUCUUCAGGAGAUCGUUCCAUUAAAUGCCGGCAACAUCUUCGGCGCUGAGGACAACCGACCAGUUCCAAAGUGGGAAUAUAUUAUCCGGGAAACAUUAAAUAAAAUUCAACCUGUCAAGAAAAAGUUCAAAUGUCACAGUGAUCCUCCUUCUCCAUCGAGGUUCAAGCCAUCAGAUGAUGUUCCGGUUAUUGAAGACGAGAUAUUGCUUGAAACUGAUAGUGACAGUGAUAGAGAAGUCCAUCCGGUGGAUGAAAAAUUUUUUGGUUUUAAUAUGAACAACGAUGGAUCUCCCACAAACGGAAAGGAAUCCAGAUUCUGUGAGGAAGCCCACCGCUUGGGAGAGACUGAUUCAUGCCUACCGAAAGAAGUGGAUAUCGAGAAGCAAUCUUCCGGGAAGAGUUUGAAUAGGUUACAUUGCCUUAGGUUGACGGACUACAAUAUGAAUUCAGAAACAUCAGUGGCCCAAACUAAGGCGUUAACCAGAAUGCUUAGCGGGUCUGAAAGGAUUGGUCUGGUAUGGCCAGAGAUGCCAUUGAACUUGCUUUCUCAACGUGGACUAGAUAGGAUGAAUUCCUUCAAGUCAGUUAACUCUUUCAAAGCAUCUAAGUCUUUCAAGUUGUCGACUCGUGGUGAUGAUAAUGGACAAUCAGACAUGAUUUUGAUACCGGAUCUUGAUCUAGAAUCCGUUAUGAAUAGAAAAAGGAGAUCAGCUUAUGUAAGGGUUGUUAGUAAGAAAAUGGUUGGAAUUUUUCUGACUAUAUGGGUUCGUAGAAGCUUACGGAGGCACAUCCAAAACUUGAAGGUAUCUACUGUUGGUGUUGGUGUUAUGGGCUAUAUUGGCAACAAGGGAUCAGUAUCUGUCAGCAUGUCUAUAUAUCAAACACUGUUUUGCUUUAUCUGUACUCACCUAACAUCGGGGGAGAAGGAGGGGGAUGGACAUCGAAGAAAUGCUGAUGUGCAUGAAAUACAACGGAGGACGCAAUUCAAGACUGUUCCUGGUAUCAGAUUCCCUAAAACAAUCCAUGACCAUGAGCGAAUGAUAUGGUUAGGGGAUUUGAAUUACAGAAUCAACUUAUCAUAUGAUAAAACACGAGAACUCAUCUCCAAGAGAGCUUGGUCCAGCUUGAGUGAGAGUGACCAGCUGAUACGAGAACUAAAGAAAGGUCGUGCCUUUGAUGGGUGGUCAGAAGGUACUUUAACUUUCCCGCCAACAUACAAAUAUGAGUUUAAUUCGGAGAAGUACGUUGGGGAGGAUCCAAAGGCCGGAAGGCGUACUCCAGCUUGGUGUGACCGCAUUCUCUCGUUUGGAAAGGGGAUUAGGCUAUUGAAAUAUAAGAGGGUUGAGCAGAAGCUUUCAGAUCAUCGUCCUGUGGCUGCCACUUUCACAGCCGAGGUUGAGGUCUUCUGUCAUAGGAAGCUUCAAAGAGCUCUAACAUUCACAGACGCAGAGCUAGAAAAUGGCGAUGUUAUAUCGGAGAUGGAUAUUGAUGCCGGCAUGAGCCGUUUGAGGCUUGGAGAGGCCAGGCGCCCUGCUGGAUGAGUGGCCAGGAUUUCACGGACACAUGCCCGUGACUCACGUCUUCAAUCUCUUCCCUCACGAGUGGCACUUCUCAUGUCUAAAUCAAUGCCCGGCUAGAACUCUCUGGGUGGGAUCGUUAGGACGGUGCGGCCUGCUGGGCAAACCUGAAGAUACACCAAGGGAGAAGCGGGGUGAGUCCCCACAACUAUCUCAGUUCAAUACAUUUUUUGUUCGUGAGAUCCAACGGAGGAAAUCACCCAUUACUUCAGGUCCAUCCCUGAUCGAUGAUGUAUAUUGUUUUUUGUAGAAUUUGUAUAUUCAAAACUCCUGAUUGAUUUCUCAAGAAUGUAAUUGAUAGAUCCCCUUUCCACUACAAGAUUGUCCUCUGAACCCAAUCAAAUACAUCCAAACAAGAGACCUUAUGGUUGGUUGAUGGCUGUCUAA